rnacentral:rRNA from 1 species
GACGAACGCUGGCGGCGUGCCUAAUACAUGCAAGUCGAACGAGAGCAACCGGUGCUUGCACUGGUCAAUCUAGUGGCGAACGGGUGAGUAACACGUGGGUAACCUGCCCAUCAGAGGGGGAUAACAUCCGGAAACGGAUGCUAAAACCGCAUAGGUCUUCGAACCGCAUGGUUUGAAGAGGAAAAGAGGCGCAAGCUUCUGCUGAUGGAUGGACCCGCGGUGCAUUAGCUAGUUGGUGAGGUAACGGCUCACCAAGGCCGUGAUGCAUAGCCGACCUGAGAGGGUGAUCGGCCACAUUGGGACUGAGACACGGCCCAAACUCCUACGGGAGGCAGCAGUAGGGAAUCUUCCGCAAUGGACGCAAGUCUGACGGAGCAACGCCGCGUGAGUGAAGAAGGUUUUCGGAUCGUAAAACUCUGCUGUUAGAGAAGAACAAGUGCUAGAGUAACUGUUAGCGCCUUGACGGUAUCUAACCAGAAAGCCACGGCUAACUACGUG